rnacentral:misc_RNA from 1 species
CGUAGGGGAACCUGCGGCCGGAUCACCUCCUUAGUUAUUAUAUUGUAGUAGUGUUAGUGGGUUAGAAUGGGCCUUGUGCUCUUUCUAAUCUGCGAGACUUUACAAUACUUUUAUACUAAUAAAAUAAAUAAAUCCCUAAAAGGGAGUGCAAUCAAAUCAAAACUGAUCAAUCAAUUCCUUCAUUUUUCAUACGGUUUGAAAAAUUAGAGGUGUAUGUGGAAAUUUUAUGCAAAAAAAAUAAUUAUAUUUACUAGGCCAAAUUUUAUAGGGGUAGUCUGUGUAAAUAUUAUAAUAGAUAUUGUGAAGGUCAAAAACUAUGAUAUCAUCUAUCUGAUCAUUCCAAUUAAAAUCAGCAAAUGUAGUAUCGGAUGCAAUUCUUUGUCUCAUGUAAAUGAGUAGGAGUAGAAGAUAAAGAAUGAAGUUGAUGUAGUAGACGUGAGUUUACAAUGAUCAUCAUGUAUAGGAAAACUCCAUUAAAUUAUCAAUUACAUAUAGUUGAAGAAAUAACAACAAUAACUAUUCGCGUAAUAAUGGAAUAGUGAAAUGUAGUAAAAUAUUAUGUGUAACUGGUUUGUAGUGCAAACAGAGAUUUAACGUAUAUGUAUAUAAAAAAAAUAUACAUACUUACAUACGAAAUACCAAUACGAAAUACCAAUACCAAUACCAACCAUUGAAUUGAAUUAGACUUUUCUACCACAAGUGGAACUAAGAACUAACUAGAUCCAAAGGACAAAGAAAGAAAGGAAAAAAAUAAACUCCAAAAAUAAGUUUUUUAUAACUACUGGACUGGUGCAAAGACGCCGAUUGGUGGAUG